AUACCUUUCUCGGCCUUUUGGCUAAGAUCAAGUGUAGUAUCUGUUCUUAUCAGUUUAAUAUCUGAUAUGUGAACUAUUAGUUCACACGAUAUUAAAUUAAUUUUUUGAGGGAGAGAACCAUCAAAGUAGCUUGCUACUUGGUUUCUUAUGCAUCGCCUUUGUUUUGCACUCUUGCAAGGGCCUGGUGCAUCCCAC
rfam:Vigna radiata var. radiata cultivar VC1973A chromosome 11, whole genome shotgun sequence